GUGCUUGAUGGGUAUUUGAUGCAUAAGAACUAUAUUUGCCUUCCUCAAACCUCAUUAUGGGAGAAGUUAAUCCGAGAUAUACAUGGAGGGGGACUAACUAGCUAUUUAGGAAGAGAUAAGACCAUUGCAGCGAUGAAAGAUAUUUUUUUGCCUCGAUUGCGCAAAGAUGUAAUUAGGUUUGUCAUUAAGUGCUUUACUUGUCAAACUUCGAAGAGACAAUCUCAAAAUACUGGUUUAUAUAUGUCUUUGCCUAUACUUGAAAUAUUUGAAAAGAUUUGUCCAUGAAUUUUGUGU
rnacentral:misc_RNA from 1 species